AUACGUAGGGAGCAAGCGUUGUCCGGAUUUACUGGGUGUAAAGGGUGCGUAGGCGGCUUUGCAAGUCAGAUGUGAAAUCUAUGGGCUCAACCCAUAGCCUGCAUUUGAAACUGCAGAGCUUGAGUGAAGUAGAGGCAGGCGGAAUUCCCCGUGUAGCGGUGAAAUGCGUAGAGAUGGGGAGGAACACCAGUGGCGAAGGCGGCCUGCUGGGCUUUAACUGACGCUGAGGCACGAAAGCGUGGGUAGCAAACAGGAUUAGAUACCCUGGUAGUCCACGCUGUAAACGAUGAUUACUAGGUGUGGGGGGUCUGACCCCUUCCGUGCCGGAGUUAACACAAUAAGUAAUCCACCUGGGGAGUACGGCCGCAAGGUUGAA
rnacentral:rRNA from 1 species